GGUGUGGGAGGGGGUGAAAAAGUUCAACAUUUCCCAACUUUAUGACCACUGGGCAAUGACCAAUCAUAUCGAGUGGUUCCCAUGACGAAUUUGACACUAUGCGAACCAUCGCUGGAGACUUUCUUCAAUAUCAGCACUGAUCUGAGGACACAUGAUAGGCCAGAUCUCAAAGUGACACAGGAGUGAGGAGGUCCUCACCUGUCAAAACAGGAAAUUCAAAUACAGCUAACCACUGCAAACUUUCAAAUAGGGGAGUUCAAAAGAGAAAAUGCAGCAUUCAGACAAUCUCUCUCCGUGAUUGAAGGUAAGCUUUCCUGUUUGUGGAUGCUCCCAAUGAAUAUUCUCACCAUGCGUGCAAGUCCAGGUAUAGUUGUGUAUAUACCCAUAGAUACCAGUUGUAUAGUUUCUACCUAUCUAUUAGUUGAAUGCAUAUUGCAUGCAAGUGUAAUGAUAGCACAUUAUGUUUUAUAUUUUCAGAGUUGCCACGUUUGCUCCAGGAGGUGAAAAACCUAGAGAGGGAGAGAAUGAGACACACAAUUUCAAAGGACAUCAUGGUUAGUGGAUCCCCAGCCAUCUCCAAAACUCACAAUGACAUCAUGGCUGGACCCUCCAACCCACAAAAGCAGCACUCCAAGACAUAGUCGUCACAACCCUACCAGACAGCAUGCCUUUUUAAUUAGGCGAAACCAGAUGGAGAAGGAUGUCUUAAAAAUAAUUGAAUCGAAGCUUGAAUCGAAAUUGCUUAAGUCCAAGAUUUAGGUUUAAAACUGCUUUUUUUUUUACUCAAAGGGAGUAACUUGGAGGCUAAG
rnacentral:lncRNA from 1 species